GGAGUCAGACUGCACGAGAUAAGUUGGGCAGUCAAAAGGGAAAGAGCCCAGACCUGCUGCUAAGGUCCCAAAGUACGUGUUAAGUGGAAAAGGAUGUGGGAUUUCGAAGACAACUAGGAUGUUGGCUCAGAAGCAGCCACACAUUCAAAGAGUGCGUAAUAGCUCACUAGUCGAGAGGUCCUGCGCCGAAAAUGUCCGGGGCUGAAACACGACACCGAAGCACAGGAUACCGCAAGGUAUGGUAGAGGAGCAUUGCUGGCGCGAUGAAGCAGUACCGGAAGGAGCUGUGGAGUGCCAGGAAGAGAGAAUGCCGGAAUGAGUAGCGAGAGAGAGGUGGGAAUCCUCUCGGCCGAAUAUCCAAGGUUUCCAGGGUAAAGCUGAUCUGCCCUGGGUAAGUCGGGGCCUAAGGAGAGGCAGAAAUGCGUAUCCGAUGGACAGCAGGUUGAGAUUCCUGCACUAUCUUAAAACAGAACUGUGGGGACAUUUGUGGAGAGCACAGGCGCGGAACGGAAAGCCGCGUGCAAGCGAAGGAGGAGUCACAUAGGAAAAACCGUGUGGCAAUCCAGAGGCGUGAUGCGGACCGAACUAAAGUAGGGAAGUGUGUGAGCCAUGAAUCAAGAAAAGCCGCUAUUGUUUUUAAGAUACCCGUACCGUAAACCGACACAGGUGGAUGAGGAGAGAAUCCUAAGGCCGGCGGAAGAAGCAUUGUUAAGGAACUCGGCAAAAUGACCCCGUAACUUCGGGAGAAGGGGUGCCUGCGAGAGCAGGCCGCAGAGAAUAGGCUCAAGCAACUGUUUAGCAAAAACACAGGUCUAUGCAAAACCGUAAGGUGAGGUAUAUGGGCUGACGCCUGCCCGGUGCUGGAAGGUUAAGAGGAGAGGUUAGCGCAAGCGAAGCUUUGAAUUUAAGCCCCAGUAAACGGCGGCCGUAACUAUAACGGUCCUAAGGUAGCGAAAUUCCUUGUCGGGUAAGUUCCGACCCGCACGAAAGGCGUAAUGAUUUGAGCGCUGUCUCGACAAUGCAUCCGGUGAAAUUGAAGUACCAGUGAAGAUGCUGGUUACCUGCGCCAGGACGGAAAGACCCCAUGGAGCUUUACUCCAGUUUGGUACUGGGGUCCGGUAUUGCAUGUACAGGAUAGGUGGGAGGCUAGGAAGCAGUAACGCCAGUUGCUGCGGAGCCGCUGUUGGGAUACCACCCUUGCAGUACUGGGCUUCUAACCAGCCGCCGUGAACCGGCGGUGGGACAAUGCCAGACGGGGAGUUUGACUGGGGCGGUCGCCUCCGAAAGGGUAUCGGAGGCGC
rnacentral:rRNA from 1 species